rnacentral:rRNA from 1 species
CACCUACGGGAGGCAGCAGUGGGGAAUAUUGGACAAUGGGCGAAAGCCUGAUCCAGCAAUGCCGCGUGUGUGAAGAAGGCCUUAGGGUUGUAAAGCACUUUCAGUGGGGAGGAAGUUAUAUUUGCUAAUAUCAGAUGUAAUUGACGUUACCCACAGAAGAAGCACCGGCUAACUCUGUGCCAGCAGCCGCGGUAAUACAGAGGGUGCAAGCGUUAAUCGGAAUUACUGGGCGUAAAGGGUGUGUAGGUGGUUAUGUAAGUUAGAUGUGAAAUCCCCGGGCUUAACCUGGGAACUGCGUUUAAAACUGCGUAGCUAGAGUAUUGCAGAGGAUAGUGGAAUUUCCAGUGUAGCGGUGAAAUGCGUAGAUAUUGGAAGGAACACCAGUGGCGAAGGCGACUGUCUGGGCAAAUACUGACACUGAGACACGAAAGCGUGGGGAGCAAACAGGAUUAGAUACCCUGGUAGUCCAUGCUGUAAACUAUGAGAACUUGCUGUUGGAUGCAUAAAGGCAUUUAGUAGCGAAGCUAACGCGUUAA